rnacentral:rRNA from 1 species
GACGAACGCUGGCGGCGUGCCUAAUACAUGCAAGUAGGACGCAGUUGCGAACGGGUGAGUAACGCGUAGGUAACUACCUAUUAGAGGGGGAUAACUAUUGGAAACGAUAGCUAAUACCGCAUACUAGUAGAUGGACCUGCGUUGUAUUAGCUAGUAGGUAGGGUAAUGGCCUACCUAGGCAACGAUACAUAGCCGGCAUGAGAGGGUGAUCGGCCACACUGGAACUGGGAAACGGCCCAAACUACUACGGGAGGGAGCAGUAGGGAAUCUGCGGCAAUGGGGGGAAACCUGGCCGAGCAACGCCGCGUGAGUGAAGAAAGUUUUCGGAUCGUAAAGCUCUGUUGUUAAGGGAGCGGUACUUAACCAAAAAGUGACGGCUAACUACGUGCCAGCAGCCGCGGUAAUUC